UACGGGGGGAGCAAGCGUUGUUCGGAUUUACUGGGCGUAAAGGGCGCGUAGGCGGCCUCCGCAAGUCAGUUGUGAAAUCUCCGGGCUUAACUCGGAAAGGUCAACUGAUACUGUGCGACUAGAGUGCAGAAGGGGCAACUGGAAUUCUCGGUGUAGCGGUGAAAUGCGUAGAUAUCGAGAGGAACACCUGCGGCGAAGGCGGGUUGCUGGGCUGACACUGACGCUGAGGCGCGAAAGCCAGGGGAGCGAACGGG
rnacentral:rRNA from 1 species